rnacentral:rRNA from 1 species
AUUGAACGCUGGCGGCAUGCUUUACACAUGCAAGUCGAGCGGCAGCGCGGGGCUUGGGGCAACUUAAGUCUUGGCGGCGAGCGGCGAACGGGUGAGUAAUGCAUCGGAACGUACCGACAAGUGGGGGAUAGCUCGGCGAAAGACCGGAUUAAUACCGCAUAUGCUGUGCGCAGGAAAGCUGGGACUCUGUAACAGGACCUGGUGCUUGUCGAGCGGCCGAUGUCCGAUUAGCUAGUUGGUGGGGUAAAGGCCUACCAAGGCGACGAUCGGUAGCUGGUCUGAGAGGAUGAUCAG